rnacentral:rRNA from 1 species
CGGCAUGGAUUAGGCAUGCAAGUCGUACGAGAAUCCUCUCUUCGGAGAGGAGGACAGUGGCGAAAGGGUGAGUAACACGUGAGUAUCUACCUCCAGGUCGGGAACAGCCCGCGGAAACGCGGAUUAAUGCCCGAUGGUCCCUUCGGGGUAAAGAGGAAUCGCCCGGAGACGAGCUCGCGGCCCAUCAGCUUGUUGGCGGGGUAACGGCCCACCAAGGCGACGACGGGUAGGUGGUCUGAGAGGAUGGUCACCCACACUGGGACUGAGAUACUGCCCAGACUCCUACGGGAGGCUGCAGUCGAGAAUCAUCCGCAAUGGGCGAAAGCCUGACGGUGCAAUGCCGCGUGGGGGAUGAAGGCCUUCGGGUCGUAAACCCCUGUCAGAGGGGACGAAAAACAUGACGGUACCCUCAGAGGAAGCCACGGCUAACUACGUGCCAGCAGCCGCGGUAAUACGUAGGUGGCGAGCGUUAUUCGGAUUUACUGGGCGUAAAGGGUCCGCAGGGGGUUUGCCGAGUCCGAUGUGAAAGUCCGCAGCUCAACUGCGGAACUGCGUCGGAUACUGGUGAACUUGAGUGCGCGAAGGGCGAGCGGAAUUCCAGGUGUAGCGGUGGAAUGCGUAGAUAUCUGGAAGAACACCGGCGGCGAAAGCGGCUCGCUGGCGCGCCACUGACCCUCAUGGACGAAAGCGUGGGGAGCGAACAGGAUUAGAUACCCUGGUAGUCCACGCUGUAAACGGUGCAGACUCGAUGCGGGGGGCGGUCCCCUCCGUGUCUAAGCCAACGCGUUAAGUCUGCCGCCUGGGGACUACGGCCGCAAGGCUAAAACUCAAAGGAAUUGACGGGGGCC